GGGGAGCUGGCGCAACGGUAGCGCGUCAGAUUCCAGUGGCUUUAGUUCUCUUAGAACUAUUCGGGAACUCCUGAAGGUUAUCGGUUCAAAUCCGGUGUUCCUCA